GCACGUUUUCCCCAAUGUAGAGAUUGCCUAAAGUUCCCAAGGGAACACGUGACUUUUGGGGGAGAUCAAAUGGCCAUAAGGCGGCGUGCGCUUUCAAUAAUAACAUGCGUAUUUGAGAUCCAUGGUGCUGUUCAAAUUGAUGCACCCUCAUGGGCAAAUAUGGUGAAGACUGGUAUCUGACCUUGCUGCUCAGUGCACUGAGGAGGUACCAGAUAGCAAAACUAUACAGGAGAGAGAUAACCCAUCAAAGGGAAGAUACCGAGGAUUCUACCAGCGUGACUUUGGCAUUGCUGGAGUAUAUGAGCCAAUGGAAUUCUGACAGAAUUUCUGGAUAGGCUAGAUAUUGGAACGUAUGAUAAAACUAAAUCACAGAAAGUUGCUUCAUGUCGUGCUGGAGAUCUGCGGUGUGCUUCCUGACAAGUUCAGAAUGGUCUGCUCAAGCAUCGACAAGCUUGACAAACUGACAUUCGAAGAGGUGAAGUAAGAACUGAUAUGCAUGCAGUGGUACUAACUACUCUGUUUCUUGGCAGCAGAUCAUAUUGACACUUUGCAUCAUUCUU